CAUGGGAGAGUUUUAUAAAUUAGCAACCCUAGUGUUGGAAGGAAAUACGACCCACAGGAGUAUUUUCCGUCCUCAUAUCUAAACCAGAGAAUUUAACUUUCACAUUUUAUUUUUACACAA